GGAGCCGUAGUGUAGCGGUUUAACAUGUCGGCCUGUCACGCCGAAGAUCGCGGGUUCGAAUCCCGUCGGCUCCGCCA
rnacentral:tRNA from 2 species